rnacentral:rRNA from 1 species
GUCCUAGUUGUACGGAWUGCAGCAGACGCGAAUCCUCUACAAUGCGCGCAAGCGUGAUAGGGGGAUCCUUCGUGCCAGCGUUUAACGAUUGGCUUUUAUAGAGUUUAGGAUGCUCUGAGAAUAAGGGGUGGGCAAGACCGGUGCCAGCCGCCGCGGUAACCCCGGCGCCCCGAGUGGUGGUCUAUACUGGGUCUAAAGGGUCCGUAGCCUGUUAGUUAAGUUCCUAGUGAAAGCUAAUGACUUAAUCAUUAGAAUUGCUAGGGGUACUGAUUGACUUGAGACUGGGAGGAGUUGGAGGAAUGCCAUAGGGAGCGGUAAAAUGUUGUAAUCUAUGGUGGACCAUCAGUGGCGAAGGCGUCCAACUAGAACAGGUC